AUACCUCAGAGAAAAGGUGUGAUGGGGGCAGGUAAAGAAUGGUUAAAAGCAUGGGCUCCUGCUUUACAUGGGCUCCUGCUUUCAUCAGUUCUUCGAGCAGUUAAAUGGUUCACACACACACAAAGCUUUAAGAACACCCUGGAGUAUUUAAGGCAUUUACGAAAAUCCAAAGCAUCUUGUUCAUUUCAAUUACUUCUCCACCCACAUUCUUCAUUGAAUUAAAGGAUAUCCUACACACUCUUUUGUUUCACUUAUUCCCCAAAGCUUGUUUCAUCAUACACCAAGCAAGGAUCUUCAGCAUAUUCACAGAAACGUCUCAGUCACGGUGCUCAGCAUUAUGAUGUUCCUGGCACAAGGGAUGUUAUUAAAGGACUGAAUAGAUGAAUAGAUGGCAGAUUUCCCCAGGGCAGCACAUCAGAAAAUGGACAUCAAAAGAACCUGGCUCAAAGUGCAGUGGGUAUUACAGGCUCCUGAAAAAUCCCACUCAUUUCUGAACAGUAGCACUGUCAGUCUGUGUUAGGGACAUGUCCAUCCUGGAAUACCUACAUAAAACUGUUUGCUUAUCCAGUAAAAGCACUCCCAUUUCAACACCCACCUCUAGUUGAAAACAGCAUAAUCUUCAUUAGUCAAAAGUACUUUGGGCCAUAAUCCAAAUACAAUCUUACUCAAAUAACUACCAGCAUCCCAAGGCUCAGGCGCUGUAGCCAUCAAAAUUUUCUCCUACCAUUUUUCAUGAACCCAUCUGGAUUGCCCUAGAAACUCUGAAUGUGUGAGUCUCAUUUACAGGACAUGUAGGUUGUCACAUAUUACAAGUCAUCUUCACAGACCCUGACAGCAUAACAGGCCACAGUCUGUGACAGGAAAUUUAAAAAAUUUUUAUUUCCUUUUGCACCAAGAACUGGUUGGAAUUUAUUUUCUUAAAGCUAUUUCAAACCAUGAGUAACAAUUAAUUCCUGAGCAGGCACUGAGGAAGGAGAAGCACAUAUACUGACAUGAUGUCACCACCUGAAUUAUUCUGCUGAGAUAUAAAAAUAGUUUGGAAGGCAGCACGGCCAAAAUUACUAUAUAAUUUAAUUACAACCUGCUUUCAUGACAGGCCAUCAGUUAAUUAAGAGUGUCAAAAUGCUGAAUUGCCUCCAGCUUCUAUAUGCUUUGCAAAUUACAUGGAAGUCAUCUUUUUAAAUAGCAACAGCUUAACUGAAAAUGUAGAACCCAUAGUGAAAUGCUUUGAAAAAUGAGGCAGUCAACUGAGCUGACCUGAAACUCCCCACGCCAUAAAUUCACUAGGGAAGACAGUUAUAACCCAUUUAAUUUACUCUCUGAAGAUCACAUUCACAUGACAUCAAAACUAUUUUUCUGAAAUUGAUAUAAUUUUGAAGUAUUAUAAAACAGGAGUCUGAAGUGAUUGUACUCUGUGCAGGUACAUAUAGGGCCUGGCUCCAGCACUAGCACCUUCCCUCCAGGCUGCUACAACUGUAAAGCAGGAAAAGGCUCAGAAAAAAGGGAUUCUUUCAUUUAGAAAUAAGUCACCUUCACUGAUUCUCAAGUACCACAUAUGACAUGAAAGAAAAUUCUCUGUAAAGGGAAUCAUGUUGCUAUAAACUUAGAAAAUGAAGCAAAUGCUUUACCCAUUUGUUCCAUCUGAUACCAAAUCCCUUAUUCUCUUUAUAGAGUUAUAUAGUUUUUUAUUAAACAAACCAUUUUGUAUCAAUUAUAUAACAGUUUUAUAUAAACUGUAGCAACAUAAAGAAUAAAGUGAAAAGCAGACUGGAUAGAAAGGUCAUGUUUCCAAGCACCAAAGGUAAGAGUAGUACCCAUCUGCAGAACAAAGCCAAACAUCUUGAAACUGAAACAAAAACAGACUGGUUCCUCUCCCUUGUUCUCCCUUUGGUGAUGAGGGGGUUCUUUGAUUGGACAGACAGAAAAAUAUUGUUUGCUGGCUGGACUUUUCUAUGAGUCCUUCACAUUGGGAAAAAACCUGAUGAGCAAACAUCUCCCCCUAUACUUUGCAAGAAGCUGAGCAUCUUAAAAAUAAUAACUAAAAUCCUGUCUCUUGGCUGAAUAAGGAAGCCAAGCCAAAACUGAGCCAGGACUUUAUGUAGUAUGGCAACAUGGAAGGGGAUGCUAUAGGAGAGUGAAUAAAAAGCAUGAGGCUACAAGAAAGAAAUCUGAUCAUUCAGAAGAACUGUGUCAGGCUCAUGGUUUCAUGACUGUGGCAGUGUCCAAGUGAUUAACAAAUUCAGGGUUUUGGAAGACAAACUGAAUUUCAAUAUAAUUUACGUGAAUUUUAUUCACACGUGGAAGUAAGGCGAGUACAUUAGGCCUGUAAUUUAUGCAAUAGGCAAAGAACUUCAAAUAUCAGAAAGAACUGAAUGUGCUUUUUAACUUGACUUCAAAGUGCUCUCUACUACUAAAGACUUUAAUUGAGAAAAGAUUUGAGCUUAGUAAAAUGCCAUUUAAUCUAACAGGCCAUAAAAUAAAAGCUGACCAGUAAACAGGAAUGCUUUGCCAGAUGACAAACACCUCAAUGCAACUUUCACAAAAUGGUGAUUAAUCAAUGAUUUAAUGUCUACUUCAAAGGCAAUAUCUGUGGGAUGGAUCCUGUCAUCCAUGUCAUCAUGGUGGGACAUUGUUGCUGUUUCUGUAAGAAGAAGCCCUGAGCCCUGUAACUGGACUUUACUGCCAUUCACAACUACUGAAAACCAGCUGCCAUUAAUUUUACAAUCCCCAUGAAGGUUUAAGGUAAAGGGACAUCUUUUAUUCAGUGUUUUCACAGAGAGCAGUGUAACAAAGGAGUUAGUAUCCAGCAAGGCCCAUUACACAAUACGAUGAUGCAACAUCAAUGGCACAUUGUGCUCUCCCCUGAGCACUCACCUUCGGUGUUUGACAGGCAAUCCUUGGGGUCCCAGCAUUAGCCCAGCAGUGGCUGGGGUGGCAUUGGCUCCAGCCCC
rnacentral:lncRNA from 1 species